ensembl:processed_transcript
UGGUUCGUUGGUGGGUUGGGUUGGAUUGAGUUUGGUUGGUUUGUUGGUUGGUUGGUGAGUUGGUUGGUUGGUGAGUUAGUUGGUUGGCUGGUUCAUAUGUGGAUUAGGAUAGUUUUGGUUGGGUUGGUUAGUUGGUUGGUUUGGGUUUGGUUGGGUUGGUUGGUUGGCAGGUUGGUCGGAUGGCUUGGGUUAAUUGAAUAAUUGAUUGGUUGGUUGGUUCGAUGGUUACUUGGUUGGUUGGUUGGCUCAUUGAUUCAUUGACUGAUUGAUUGGAUAAGUUGGGUUGGGUUGAUUGAUAUGGUUGGUUGUGUAGUUAAUACCUGUCAUAAACUCUCAAACUCUGCUUGAUUUCAUAUUUUUAUUUCAUAUUUAAUUAUUUGAUUCAUUUUCAUUGCUGUUACAAUAAAAAAGUAUGCAAAUGGUUAGGUUGGGUUGGGUUUGGUAUGAAACUCUUUUUUUGUUAAAUUCCAUCCAUCCAUCCCAUCUGCAAUGUUUUGUGAUUUUUGUCUUACAUUUAUUUGCUUGUUUAAUACAUCUGGUUUUACAAUAAUAUAUUUGUGCAUAUACAUUAGAUUAUUCUGUACCAAUGCAAAGUUUAGAAUAUAUAUAUAUAUAUAUAUAUAUAUAUAUAUAUAUAUAUAUAUAUAUAUAUUAUUUAUUUUUUAUUUUUUUUGUGCUAUUAAGUGACUAUAUAGUUUUAAUCAUUA